UACAGAGGCCCCAAGCGUUACUGAGAAUCACUGGGUUUAAAGGGUGCGUAGGUGGCGCGUUAAGUCCGUUGUGAAAUCCCUUGGCUCAACCAAGGAAAUGCUUCGGAUACUGGCGUGCUUGAGGCUAGUAGGGGUCACUGGAACUGACGGUGGAGCGGUGAAAUGCGUAGAUAUCGUCAGGAACGCCGAUGGUGAAGACAGGUGACUGGGCUAGUUCUGACACUGAGGCACGAAAGCGUGGGGGGCAAACAGG
rnacentral:rRNA from 1 species